UAGAAACCUUUACUAAGACCAAGGGACCCUGAACUUAUUCCCAGGGAGCACUGGCCACAGCUUCUUGCAUACCUCCAAGAACAGGAGUCUCACUCAUCUCAAGUGGAACCAGAGGCCUUCUCUGAGAUUCGGUUCUGCCCCAGGGACCUGAGAGCACCAGUGUCCAACUGCAGAUCCCUUCUGGGGAGACAUUAAAACACCAACUGUCUAACAAAGUCAUGGCUGCAACGACCUGCAAGGGGAGCAGCCUUGUUACCGUGUCAAGUGCACAAACCAAGACCCAGGGAGAAGCAAACGGACCGCUCAACAUCCCACGGUCAACAAGCUGAAGCCAACCAAUGCCAGGGCUCCCUCUUGACCACCCCGUGGAGCCAUGAGAUCCUCAGUGGCACAGCUGCCACCCUAGCUCAAGACACUGAUCCUAUAAUUCUGGCCAGGGCGUCAGAUCCCUUGGUGUCUUGAGACUCCUGGUGAAUGCUUCCAAGAGCCCACACUGCAUUGUCACCACGGCGAGCGCCUGUGUGCCUCAUUCCUGGCAAAUCCUUCGCUGACCUGUCUUCUUUUCCUCUACCCUCUGCUCCACAGUGCCAGGAGGCUGGAGGGAGGGAGGAGGCUCUGAGGCCUUCUGGAUUCUGGAACAGACUGUCAGCAACUUUAGUGGCAGGAGGAUUUCCAGUCCCGUCUUACAUAAGGACCCACUAAGUUCAUAUUUCAAAACACACUGAAAGACCACUUCUCAGCUGUCAUCAGAAAGGGCAGAAUGAGGGCAGCAAAUGAAGCAGGCAGGACUGGAGGAUGGGCUAAGUUUGCAAGGGCUGACCAGUGGUGAGGCUGGGAUGGAUUCUGGUGGCCGGGCCUGUGGGCGGAGCCAGCUCUAUUCUAGGCAGGGUCAAGUGUUUCUGGGUUCCUGGCCUCAUGCUUGUUAUUGUUGCUGUUGUUGUUUUAUUUUGCUAUUACUGAGUGAAAGUACUUACAGAAUUCAGAAGAGGGCAUCGGAUUCCCUAGAGCUCAGAUUACAGACAGUUUGGAGGUCAUCGAAUGUGGGUGUGGAAACCAAACUUGGAUCCUCUGCAAGAGCAACAAGUGCUCUUAGCUACUAAGCGAUCUCUCCAGCCCCAUGUUCUUGAAGUAAAAAGCAUACAUAGAUGUGAUAGAAAAGAUCAGAAUGCUCUACUAGGGAGGGAGCAUCGCCACAGGAGAAAAUCUACUCAAGAGCCCACCCCU